UACGGAGGGGGCUAGCGUUGUUCGGAAUUACUGGGCGUAAAGGGCGCGUAGGCGGCGAUUCAAGUCAGGCGUGAAAGGCCUGGGCUCAACCCGGGAACUGCGCUUGAUACUGGAUUGCUUGAGUCCGGGAGAGGAUGGCGGAAUUCCCAGUGUAGAGGUGAAAUUCGUAGAUAUUGGGAAGAACACCGGUGGCGAAGGCGGCGAUCUGGGAAGAUACUGACGCUGAGGUGCGAAAGCGUGGGGAGCAAACAGG
rnacentral:rRNA from 1 species